GGCUCAGGAUGAACGCUGGCGGCGUGCCUAAUACAUGCAAGUCGAGCGAUGAGGCUCCUUCGGGAGUACAUCAGCGGCGAACGGGUGAGUAACACGUAGGUGACUUGCCCCGAAGAUGGGGAUAACCUCUGGAAACGGGGGCUAAUACCCAAUGUGCUCGGUGAUUCGGUUGAUCGAGUAAAGCUCCGGCGCUUCGGGAGAGGCCUGCGGCCCAUCAGCUAGUUGGUAGGGUAACGGCCUACCAAGGCAGAGACGGGUAGGGGGCGUGAGAGCGCGGACCCCCACACUGGCACUGCGACACGGGCCAGACUCCUACGGGAGGCAGCAGUAAGGAAUAUUGCGCAAUGGACGAAAGUCAGACGCAGCGACGCCGCGUGGGCGAUGAAGGCCUUCGGGUUGUAAAGCCCUUUUAUGGGGGAAGAGAAAAAGGACGGUACCCCAUGAAUAAGUCCCGGCUGACUACGUGCCAGCAGCCGCGGUAAAACGUAGGGGACAAGCGUUAUCCGGAUUCACUGGGCGUAAAGAGCGUUGAGGCGGUUCCGUAAGUUGGGCGUGAAAGCUCCGGGCUUAACCCGGAGAUGUCGUUCAAUACUGCGGGGCUUGAGGACAGCAGAGGAAGGUGGAAUUCCCGGUGUAGUGGUGAAAUGCGUAGAUAUCGGGAGGAACACCCGUGGCGAAGGCGGCCUUCUGGGCUGUUCCUGACGCUGAAGGCGAAAAGCUAGGGGAGCGAACGGGAUUAGAUACCCCGGGUAGUCCUAGCUGUAAACGA
rnacentral:rRNA from 1 species